ensembl:snoRNA Gm22939 small nucleolar RNA SNORA17
GCUGCCCCUAGAGGCCUUACAGGUGUAACUGCUGUGUCACCCAUGCUUUAGUAGAUGGCAGAGAAGAGAGAAGCUAUGUCUAUGAUCAGUAUUCUGACCUGUGAAUAUCUGAAUGAUAGUAGCUUAACAUU